rnacentral:rRNA from 1 species
GACGAACGCUGGCGGCGUGCUUAACACAUGCAAGUCGAACGGAAAGGCCCUGCUUUUGUGGGGUGCUCGAGUGGCGAACGGGUGAGUAACACGUGAGUAACCUGCCCUUGACUUUGGGAUAACUUCAGGAAACUGGGGCUAAUACCGGAUAGGAGCUCCUGCUGCAUGGUGGGGGUUGGAAAGUUUCGGCGGUUGGGGAUGGACUCGCGGCUUAUCAGCUUGUUGGUGGGGUAGUGGCUUACCAAGGCUUUGACGGGUAGCCGGCCUGGGAGGGUGACCGGCCACAUUGGGGCUGAGGUACGGCCCAGACCCCUACGGGGGGCAGCAGUGGGGAAUAUUGCACAAUGGGCGGAAGCCUGAUGCAGCAACGCCGCGUGCGGGAUGACGGCCUUCGGGUUGUAAACCGCUUUCGCCUGUGACGAAGCGUGAGUGACGGUAAUGGGUAAAGAAGCACCGGCUAACUACGUG